rnacentral:rRNA from 1 species
AAAAAGCUCGUAGUUGGAUUUCUGUCGAAGACGGUCGGUCCGCUCUAUGAGCGUGUAUCUGAUUCGGCUUUGGCAUCCUCGUGGGGAACGCAACUGUGCUUGACUGCAUGGUGCGGAAUUCACGACUUUUACUUUGAGGAAAUUAGAGUGUUCACGGCAGGCAAGCGCCUUGAAUAUAUUAGCAUGGAAUAAUACUAUAGGACUUUGGUUCUAUUUUGUUGGUUUCUAGGACUAAAGUAAUGAUUAAUAGGGAUAAUUGGGGGCAUUUGUAUUAACGCGUCAGAGGUGGAAUUCUUGGAUUGCGUUACGACAAACUACUGCGAAAGCAUUUGCCAAGGAUGUUUUCAUUGAUCAAGAACGAAAGUAUGGGGAUCGAAGAUGAUUAGAUACCGUCGUAGUCUAUACCAUAAACUAUGCCGACUAGAGAUUGGAGGUCGUUCUUUCCAUGACUCCUUCAGCACCUUAUGAGAAAUCAAAAGUCUUUGGGUUUCCGGGGGGGAGUAUGGUCGCAAAGGCUGAAACU